rnacentral:rRNA from 1 species
UACAGAGGUCUCAAGCGUUGUUCGGAUUCAUUGGGCGUAAAGGGUGCGUAGGUGGCGCCGUAAGUCGGGUGUGAAAUUUCGGAGCUUAACUCCGAAACUGCAUUCGAUACUGCGGUGCUUGAGGACUGGAGAGGAGACUGGAAUUCAUGGUGUAGCAGUGAAAUGCGUAGAGAUCAUGAGGAAGACCAGUGGCGAAGGCGGGCCUCUGGACAGUUCCUGACACUGAGGCACGAAGGCCAGGGGAGCAAACGGG